rnacentral:rRNA from 1 species
CCUACGGGGGCAGCAGUGGGGAAUAUUGGACAAUGGGCGAAAGCCUGAUCCAGCCAUGCCGCGUGUGUGAAGAAGGCCUUCGGGUUGUAAAGCACUUUCAGUGGGGAAGAAAGCCUUGGGGCUAAUACCCUCGAGGAAGGACAUCACCCACAGAAGAAGCACCGGCUAACUCCGUGCCAGCAGCCGCGGUAAUACGGAGGGUGCGAGCGUUAAUCGGAAUUACUGGGCGUAAAGCGCGCGUAGGCGGUCUGAUAAGCCGGUUGUGAAAGCCCCGGGCUCAACCUGGGAACGGCAUCCGGAACUGUCGGGCUAGAGUGCAGGAGAGGAAGGUAGAAUUCCCGGUGUAGCGGUGAAAUGCGUAGAGAUCGGGAGGAAUACCAGUGGCGAAGGCGGCCUUCUGGACUGACACUGACGCUGAGGUGCGAAAGCGUGGGUAGCAAACAGGAUUAGAUACCCGUGUAGUC